AUACGUAGGGGGCGAGCGUUAUCCGGAAUUAUUGGGCGUAAAGAGUGCGUAGGUGGUUUUGUAAGCGCGGGGUGAAAGGCUAUGGCUCAACCAUAGUAAGCCUUGCGAACUGUGAGACUUGAGUGCAGGAGAGGAAAGCGGAAUUCCUAGUGUAGCGGUGAAAUGCGUAGAUAUCGGGAGGAACAUCGGUGGCGAAGGCGGGUAACUGGACUGCAACUGACGCUGAGGCGCGAAAGUGUGGGGAGC
rnacentral:rRNA from 1 species